rnacentral:lncRNA from 1 species
AUGUAUAUUAUUUAUAAAUUAGAGAAAAUCUCACAAGCUAUUAUAUUUUUAAGAAUUUUACACGUUAUUUUAAAAACUAGGUUCAAUGCUUAUGUUUAUUUAGAAAAUCUGAUUAUUGCCAUCUGUUUUCACAUAUCUUCAGUGUUGUUAACAAUUCAUGGUGUGUGUUUCUGUGUCAGGGGCUGGAGGAAGCUGAAAAGAUGCAGUUUUAUCUUCAAAGGAAAGAUGAAUGUUGAAUAAAUGAAUAAAUGGUGCCUAAACUGUGACAACAUCACAUUGUUUCAAAUCACUCCAACUGUGUGGGAUCUGAGCACACCAGGUAAGUGCUCCAGCCACACAACAAUACUUUGUCAUCUCCCUCCUGCUACCCCACCCCCACCUAUCUGGCAUGUUCUUCCCCUAAAUAUCAACAUAGUUGUUUUCUUCCCUCCUUUAGACCUUUACUAAAUGUCACCUUCUGGGCAAGGUUUCUGAGGCUUCCUCCCUAUCCUUUCUAAAUUUGCACCUAUUCCUUCCACCUCACACUCUUUCCCUCCUUCUAUUCUUCAGUGCUUGUCACUCUUAAACUUGUUUACAUCAGUCUUCCUCCCCUUCAAACUGUAAGCUCCUUAUGGGUAGAAGCUUUGAAGAUCUAGUUUACAGCCAUAUCUAUAGGGCCUAGAAUAAUGUCUAGCACAUGGUAGGCAUUUAAUAAAUAUUCAAUGAAUGAGAAAAUGAGUCCAAAAUCUUUUAUAUAUGACUUUGUACUUAUGAGUAUGUCUGAUGUCCUGGAAAUAAAUGCAUUUCAAAAAGAUAAUGAAACUACCAUUUAAAGAACAGAUAUAUAGAACAAAUCAUUAUUUUUGUAACAUUCUGUGCAUUUCAAAGGCUAUGCUGUUCUGGUCUUUUCCUUCUUUAGGCUUUCUUCCUUUUUUUUUUUUUUUUUUUUUUUUAACAUAGCCAUUAUUUUCAGAAACAGCUCUGUUGGACUCUGCCUAAUUUUUGUUCAGAGCUCUAUUGUAAAGGAAUCUGUCUUUGAGGAUGCUGACCUUCUUUCCCGUAAUUGUCUUGCUUUUUAUUUUAUACUGUGCUCUUCCUUUGGGACCCAGUCUCUCAAAAGGUUUUCAUAUAUAGAUAAAAUUGGAUUUGUCUAAUGACUUUUAAUAAGGUGCUGUAAUUUAAAAUUUAACAAAAUCCAUGUGUGAAAAACAGUGCUGUUCUUUUGUGCAGACAGGUACACUGAGUGAUUGUAGUAAAAGACACUGCUGUGUUGGUACAAAUUUCUGUUAGGUACUCAGUUCUGCUGCAUGAAACAGAAAACCCAAAUAAUAGUGGCUUAAACAAGAUAGGGGCUUAUUUUUCUUAUGUAAUGAAUGAUGCUGGUAUUAGCUUAGUGGCUGAGGGUGUCAGGGCUGCAAUAUCUGCAAUUCUUUCAGCUCUUUUCUUUAGAUUUAAAGAAGGAAAAUGGAGGGAAAAAAAGAACAAAAAUCACUGUCAGCUGAGUCAAAUUCCCUUUUUCUGAAACUUCUCCAAACACCCAACUUUCACUUCCAAGCGUUGGCCUGCUCUAUAUCCCAUGGCCACCCCCAUCUGCAAGGGAGGUUGCUUUUUCUUCCUUUGGAGUCAACAAAAUUGGAAUUCCAUUAGUGAAGAAGGGGAGAAUGGAUAUAGAGUGGGCAACCAGCAGUCUCUGACAGAGUAAAAUAUACCUAAAAGGUAAAUAACAUUUUUAUCUGCCUUUUUUAGAAAUGAAAUUGACCAGGCCACAUCACUUGGAGGAAGUGUUUGGCAAAUUAUCUUAGGAAAUUAAUGUUUCAAGUUUUUAGAAAGCAUGGAAGUAAAAUAUUCUUUAUAAUAUUGUGCAAAUGUAGACUAGGGCAAAGAAGACAGCUUAAAUUCUACGCCAAAGAGCAAUUUGUAUAACAUCCAUGUGGUUGUGUCUGUUGAAAAACAUUGCCCAGAAAUAGUUCUAA